rnacentral:tRNA from 1 species
GUGCCGAGUGGACAAGGCACCUGCCCGGUAAGCAGAAGGGUGUGGGUUCUAUUCCCGCCCCUGGACA